UUUCCUAUUUACAUUUCAAAUGUUAUUCCCUUUCCUAGUUUCCAGGCCAUCAGCUCCCAACCUCUCCACCUCCCCUUCUAUGUGGGUGUUCCCCUUCCCAUCCAACCCCCAUUACUGCCCCCCCCCAACAAUUCUGUACUCUGGGGGUCCAGCCUUGGCAGGACCAAGGGCUUCCCCUUCUACUGGUACCCCAACAAGUCUAUUCACUAUGAAUUUGGAGCCCCGGGUCAGUCCAUGUAUAGUCUUUGGGUAGUGGUUUAGUCUCUGGAAGCUCUGGUUGCUUGGCAUUGUUGUACUUUUGGGGUCUCGAGCCCCUUCAAGCUCUUCCAGUUCUUUCUCUGAUUCCUUCAAUGGGGGUCCUAUUCUCAGUUCAGUGGUUUGCUGCCGGCAUUCACCUAUGUAUUUGACAUAUUCUGGCUGUGUCUCUCUGGAGAGAUCUACAUCCAGUUCCUGUUGGCCUGCGCUUGUUAGCUUCAUCCAUCUUAUCUAGUUUUGGUGGCUGUAUAUGUAUGGGACACAUGUGGGGCAGGCUCUAAAUGGCCGUUCCUUCAGUCUCUUUUCUAAACUUUGUCUCCCUAUCCCCUCCUAUAGGUAUUUUUGUUCCCCUUGAAAAGAAGGAGUGAAGCAUCCGCAUUUUGGUCG
rnacentral:lncRNA from 1 species